GAUCAUGGCUCAGGAUGAACGCUGGCGGCGUGCUUAACACAUGCAAGUCGAGCGAAGCAAUUUAAGUGAAGUUUUCGGAUGGAUCUUAGAUUGACUGAGCGGCGGACGGGUGAGUAACGCGUGGAUAACCUGCCUCACACAGGGGGAUAACAGUUGGAAACGACUGCUAAUACCGCAUAAGCGCACGGUAUCGCAUGGUACAGUGUGAAAAACUCCGGUGGU
rnacentral:rRNA from 1 species